CUUACGACUAUGUUGCGAUGAAAAUAUGUUUAUUGUCCACAGAAGCCCCCCUCUCAAUUUCGUGUACGCAGUACAAUGCCUAUUUGUUCACUAGGUGGGGAAUAAUAUUAUUAUAUCUUUAUUGCUACGACGUGUUUCAUUAUAUAAAUUGCUAUUUCACAUACCUUCCUAUUUAGUGUAAUACUAAGUCUUGACUAGAAAACAUAUUAUAUUAUUCUCAUAUUUACGCUGUGAAAUAUUAUUCAGUUAUUGUACAGCAGAUUUGUACCAAUAGAAAUGGCUAAAUGUAUUUAUUAUGUGAUAGCUAUAUUUUUUAUAUUAAAUGUUCUUGGUUGUGCAUACGCUAAUGCUAUAGAUUGUUUGAGUAAGUAUUAUUAUAUUUUACUUCACAACAUAUACCUAUACAUCAUUGGCGUGUAUAAAGUGAUUUCCGCUUUAAUCAUCAUUUCAUCAUUUUUCUACUGUAAAAUAAUAAUUAUUUAUAUACAAGUAAGUUGAACUAUACGUAUUUUCAGUGGUGUAGUCAAGGGCUCUGAUUCAUUAGGCAUAUCAAAACAUUAAAACCACAUAAAAAUUAAUUAUUAGAAUUGAGUAUUUUUUUGUUAAUACUUGGAUUCCCCCCUCUCAUUUUAAACCCUAAAAAUUUUAAUUUUAAGCAAAAAUGAAAAAUAAAUUACGUAUUGCUAGUUUUUAAAAUAAUUGAAUCGUUAUAGUUGCAGUUAUUGGUUGUAACAUUUUUCAAACAUGUGUAACAUACCUACAUUAUUUGUACAGUAUUUUACUUUUAUCUAAUGAGUUAGCAUACUAACAAUAAUGAAUCAUUGAAUAAGGUGAAUAGUAGGAUAAUAGAACUUAUCGAAAAGUGCUUUAGCGUAAAAAUUCCACUUUUUUCUAAUUUUAUUAAUUUUGUUUUAAACCAAUUAUUCAGAUAAAAUCUAUUGGACAUUUUUAAUUUUGACUUUCCAAAAGUAUCAACUACUUACAUGCACUUCGCAGAUAAGAUAUUGUAGGUUAAAAUCAAAUGUCUCUUCUACUUAUGAUUCAAUAUGUGUACCUUCACAUUCACAAAAAAAUCAUUGUAAAAUCAAUACAUUUUUUGCUCUACAUAGAACUAAAAAUCCAUUUUA